UUUUACCACACUUAAAUCACACUCAAAAACCUCUCAAACUCAGCUGAGUUUUCAGCUUAUAAAUCAGAAAGUCUCAGCCAUAAAAAGCGAGUUUUAACUCACUUCCACUUUUAUUUUCUUCUUGUUUCUUUUUUUCUUAACACUUGGAUAACCUCUAGGAAGGUUUUCGAAAGUUUGCUUGGGCAAACUAAGGUGAAACCUCACCAUUUUUGAGGUCCAAAGUGCAUAUAAAAUUCUGCUCGUUUUUUUUUAUGAUCAUGUUUUGAUAGAAAACUUAGUGGAAUCUUGUUCCCACCAAGCUCACAACUUAGUCCAUAGUUGUGGGUUUGUGUUUAGGGGAUUUCCAUCAAAGUUUUGGGUUCAAACACCCAUUUAAAUUCUGCUUAUACUUGUUAAAUUAAGCAUGAAUUAAUUAGUUUCAUUUCUUUAUUGUUCAUUCAUGACCAUCCUUGUUGUCCUUGUGACAACUUGUGCAUUGGUGAAUCUAAGAAAGAGGUUUUAAAAGGAAGAUUUAUCCUCCUACCUCUAUGCAUGACUUCUAUGAUAAUACAUGUAAUAUUUGUUGGACUAUAAUCAUACUAUAUACUAUAUAUAACAUAUAUAAAAUAUACUAACCGAACCUUUGAUGGUAAUAAAGUGAUCAUUCAUCAUGGGACUAGGUUAUACCAUCCAAGAACUUAGUUUUCUCGUUACGAUUCUAAUGGGUGUUACGCCCAUGAAAUCAUUCUAAACCCUAUGGGUUUUUAUAGUGUCAAGAACGAGCACUAAGUCUAGAUGAUUACUUUCUUACAUACAUACUUUGUGUAUUUUAAAUUCCGAAUUUCGACUCUAAUCAUACCUUGAACUCUAAUCCGAAUACAUUCCACCUCCUAAUCUCAUACACUCGCCAACAUUUGGAUAAUCGAAAGACUUAGCAAUUUUGUGAGUAUACUUGAACCCCUUUUUCGUUUACCACUUUUUGGGGUGUAACAUGUUAUUUAUAAACUUACACACAAACUUUAUCAUAAUACAUAAACAUUCCUAUUGCACACAUGCUUAUUUGAUUACUUGAUACUUUAAACUUGAAUUGAGGACAUUAUGUGUUAGACUUAUCAUUAACUUCGUACGAGCCAAACCAUGACAUAUGUAGCGCUAUAGGAUUAACGACCCGCCCGUAGACUUGUGGUUAUGUCAUGAGCAUAUUGCGUUUCAUUAUUGGUUUGAUAUGUUUGACACAUGCCAAUUUUAUUGUUUAUCUCGUAUCAAGAGCUUGCCACAUGGAAUUGUUUAAACUUAUCUUUUGAUACGUUGAGGAUGAUGAUGCUAUGAAAUGAAGUAGCGUUGAUGCCUAGAUACACAUAUAGACGUUAGGUUUAAUCGUUGUAUCAAUUUUUUAUUAUGUUGUAUUGUAUUUCCCUUGAACUUGAUGUUAAUUGAUUUCUUUGUAAUGUUGACAAAUGAAUUAUGGAAUGAAAUCGGUUUAUUAAAU
rnacentral:lncRNA from 1 species